AGAGUUUGAUCAUGGCUCAGGACGAACGCUGGCGGCGCGCCUAACACAUGCAAGUCGAACGAGCGAGAGAGAGCUUGCUUUCUUGAGCGAGUGGCGAACGGGUGAGUAACGCGUGAGGAACCUGCCUCAAAGAGGGGGACAACAGUUGGAAACGACUGCUAAUACCGCAUAAGCCCACAGCUCGGCAUCGAGCAGAGGGAAAAGGAGCAAUCCGCUUUGAGAUGGCCUCGCGUCCGAUUAGCUAGUUGGUGAGGUAACGGCCCACCAAGGGCAACGAUCGGUAGCCGGACUGAGAGGUUGAACGGCCACAUUGGGACUGAGACACGGCCCAGACUCCUACGGGAGGCA
rnacentral:rRNA from 1 species